GACGAACGCUGGCGGCGUGCUUAACACAUGCCAGUCGAACGGAAAGGCCCUGCUUGCAGGGUGCUCGAGUGGCGAACGGGUGAGUAACACGUGGGUGAUCUGCCCCUUACUUUGGGAUAAGCCUGGGAAACUGGGUCUAAUACUGGAUAGGACCAUGCUGUAGGUGGUGUGGUGGAAAGAUUAGUUUCGGUAAGGGAUGAGCUCGCGGCCUAUCAGCUUGUUGGUGGGGUAAUGGCCUACCAAGGCGUCGACGGGUAGCCGGCCUGAGAGGGUGGACGGCAACAGGGGGACAGAGAAACGGCCCAGACACCAAGGGGGGGAAGAAGGGGGGAAUAUGGCAAAAUGGGGGAAAGCCUGAGGCAGGGACGCCGGGGGGGGGAGGACGGCCUUGGGGGUGUAAACUCCUGUAAGCCAUGACGAAGCCCUUGGGGUGACGGGAGGGGUAGAAGAAGCACCGGCUAACUACGG
rnacentral:rRNA from 1 species